UACGGAGGGGGCGAGCGUUAUUCGGAAUUAUGGGGCGUAAAGGGCGCGUAGGCGGCUGAACAAGUCAAAGGUGAAAUCCCUCGGCUCAACUGAGGAACUGCAUUUGUGACUGUAGAGCUGGAGUGCGGCAGAGGGGGAUGGAAUUCCGCGUGUAGCAGUGAAAUGCGUAGAUAUGCGGAGGAACACCGAUGGCGAAGGCAAUCCCCUGGGCCUGCACUGACGCUCAUGCACGAAAGCGUGGGGAGCAAACAGG
rnacentral:rRNA from 1 species